GGCCAUAAAAAGCCCCCUGAACACAAAAAUUUAGUCCUAAUUUUGAAAUCAAUUUUUUCUUGACCUACACAUGCAAGCUUCCCCACCCCUGUGAGUACACCCCACCUUCCCGCCCGAAGUAACGAAACUGGUAUCAGGCGCUAUAACAGCCCAAAACACCUAGCAACGCCACACCCACAAGGGACACAGCAGUGAUCAACAUUAAUAAUAAGUGCCAACUUGACCUAGUUAAAGAAACACCGGGCCGGCAAAUGUGGUGCCAGCCGCCGCGGUUAUACCACAGACCCAAAUUGAUUUUCUCCGGCGUAAAGCGUGAUUAAAGUCAUUCACAAACUAGAGUCAAACUCAAACUAAGUUGUAGCACACUUGUUUCAAAGAACCCUAAAAACGAAAGUUACUCUAUCCCCAACAGCUUGAAUCCACGACAACUAAGACAUAAACUAGGAUUAGAUACCCUACUAUACUUAGCCCUAAACCUUAAAUUACUCCACCAU
rnacentral:rRNA from 1 species